ACCGCCUUCUGUUAUUAGAAAGCGUUUUUUUCUUUGGCGCCCAUGAGUGUGUCAGAAUUAACUGGUCAGGCUGCUCCAUCCCUUUUUCUUUUUCGUGCACGUUUUCCCAUGUUUGUAUUCCGAAGAAUACGUGACAGAUUUACUCUCACUUGUUCAGCAAUAACGCAACAAUGAAUCUUCGGAAUUCAACCCAUUAUUGAAAACCUAAAUUCCUAAGUUAUUUCACGUUGAUAAUUACAACUCAUUAUUUCCUUAUUUCCAAUUAAUUUUCAACUCAUCAGUCAUCGAUAUUCGACCAAGUUAUACAUAAAAAUUACAUUGUUUCGAGUGAUAAUUUUUUCUUCACAAUCUCAAAUAUCGAGGUAGUUUUAUUGGAUAUAAUUAGAGAAGAGUUUCGAAAAAUUGGAUACGAAACGUCAUCGUAUCCCCGUUGCUCGUCCCCUCUCGUCGCAGUCUCUCCGUUACGAAUAUUCCGGGUGCACUUGUUCACAAUUUCACAACGACAAGUUCCUCGUCCUUCAGCAUUUAAUCAAUGAAAUACCAGAGAAAACGGUGUGCAUGUGUAACAUACUGGCGCAGCUCGUGGAGCUAAAACAGUACGAAGAAAAUAUACGUGCGUUGUCUCCGCGCUUCAUUUUGGCUGCAGCGAAACGUGUUGCUAUUAUUCUAUUUUCUCAACGUGAACGACACGAGACGUUGCUCUCAUAGCAUCCGUUUUGCACUAUAAGGCGCUUGCCAGUUAGUGGCAGAUUGUAUGGUUGUACGCAGCGAGUUCUGAACAUCAAAUGUUCUUCAGCUCGAAGCAGAUGCUUCUCGAGUUAAUUACGUGUCUGGAAUAUCGAAGAUUCGGAGUCUUCGAAAAGUCAAACUGAAAAUGAUGAGGUUCAUUUGCUAGUUGUGAAAAAAGUAUGAGCUUUUAAAGUCCGACAUUCGAUCGCUGAGAGUGAAAAACAUUGUAAUAUGGAAACUCACGAUCAAUACAUUCAGUGUGAAAAUACAAGGCAACGGAGUCGCAGCUUUCACGUAAUCAUAUGACGAAAUGUCGCUUGUUCGUUACUCAACUUACGCGUUUCAUCGUCUCUGAAGCAGCAGUGAAUCACGAAUAUUGAAUUCACCUAUUAUCCCAUGGACCAUGUAAAAUAUUGAGAGCUCCGCAUUCGCCAUUCCCUCGGGCUAUAGAAAUGAACACACCCAACCAAAACGUUCAUGAGCCUGCUCGCUCAUGCAGUAUAUUGGAUAUUAACGUCAUUGUGACAGCUGCUAUUGAAGUAAAUGGACAUUCAUUAUAGGAUUUCAAGAGAUCCCGCCGAGCAUUCUAGUCUUUUCGUUGCUCGAGUACAUCGAAUUGAAAUUACACGGAGAAAACGAGGCCGAAAUAGUAAAAAGACCCACACCUUUUAUUCAAAUGACUCAAGGGUCUUUUUCUCUAUAAGCAUGUAUGUUUGGCAUGAUGAAUAACACUCG
rnacentral:lncRNA from 1 species